rnacentral:rRNA from 1 species
UACGUAGGGGGCAAGCGUUGUCCGGAAUUAUUGGGCGUAAAGGGCUCGUAGGCGGUUUGUCGCGUCGGGAGUGAAAACCCAGGGCUUAACCCUGGGCUGGCUUCCGAUACGGGCAGACUAGAGGUAUGCAGGGGAGAACGGAAUUCCUGGUGUAGCGGUGAAAUGCGUAGAUAUUGGGAGGAACACCGGUGGCGAAGGCGGCUACCUGGACCGGUACUGACGCUGAGGCGCGAAAGCUAGGGUAGCAAACAGG